rnacentral:rRNA from 1 species
UACAGAGGGUGCAAGCGUUAAUCGGAAUUACUGGGCGUAAAGGGCGUGUAGGCGGAAUCAUAAGUCAUCUGUAAAAUACCCGAGCUUAACUUGGGGGCGUCGGGUGAAACUGUGGUUCUAGAGUGGAGUAGAGGGUAGUGGAAUUUCCGGUGUAGCGGUGAAAUGCGUAGAUAUCGGAAGGAACACCGGUGGCGAAGGCGGCUACCUGGACUCAAACUGACGCUGAGGCGCGAAAGCGUGGGGAUCAAACAGG